rnacentral:rRNA from 1 species
GACGAACGCUGGCGGCGUGCUUAACACAUGCAAGUCGAACGAAGAGCGAUGGAAGCUUGCUUCUAUCAAUCUUAGUGGCGAACGGGUGAGUAACGCGUAAUCAACCUGCCCUUCAGAGGGGGACAACAGUUGGAAACGACUGCUAAUACCGCAUACGAUCUAAUCUCGGCAUCGAGGAUAGAUGAAAGGUGGCCUCUACAUGUAAGCUAUCACUGAAGGAGGGGAUUGCGUCUGAUUAGCUAGUUGGAGGGGUAACGGCCCACCAAGGCGAUGAUCAGUAGCCGGUCUGAGAGGAUGAACGGCCACAUUGGGACUGAGACACGGCCCAGACUCCUACGGGAGGCAGCAGUGGGGAAUCUUCCGCAAUGGACGAAAGUCUGACGGAGCAACGCCGCGUGAGUGAUGACGGCCUUCGGGUUGUAAAGCUCUGUUAAUCGGGACGAAAGGCCUUCUUGCGAAUAGUGAGAAGGAUUGACGGUACCGGAAUAGAAAGCCACGG